CAGGCGACAAGAGCAAAACUCUGUCUAAAAAGAAAAAAAAAAGAAAAGGAAAAGUCCACACUCUGAGAUAUUAGGGGUUAAGACUUCAAUAUAUGAAUUUUGCAGAAACAUAAUUCAAUCCAUAACACACCCACAUAGAACUUUGUGCUCUGUAUCAUAAUUGCAUCAUAUUUAAUAUAUUUCAUAUCUUCCAAACUGUUAAUGAAAAUGACAACACCUCUUUUAGGUUAAAUAUUUACUCAAAAUAUUAUGCCAUUUAAAUGAAUCAAGGUUUAGGAGAAUAUCUACUCAAGAAGAAAAUUGAGAGUGAAAACCGUCUCUCUAAAUUGGAGAGCUGAAGACUGAAGAGGACAGAUUUUCUUUUCCGUGAUCUUCUUCAAGGACGAGAACUUUAUCAUUCAGCCUUCUAUGUCCGUAGUGCUCAUCUGCUCAUCACACGCCCCACAUCCUUUGUCCCAUAGAAUCUGCAAAAAGGAAGAGAAGACUGUAUUCCUCAAAAUAUCAAGGACGAGGAUACUGUCUGACUUGGGAAUAAACCAAUGGCAUAUACGAAGGUGCUUAACAUCACUAAUCACUGGGGAAAUGCAAGUCAAAACCAUAAUGACAUAGCUCCUCACACCUGUUAAAAUGACUAUUAUCAGAAAGUCAAAUGAUAAGUGUUCAUUGAGGGUGUGGAGAAAAUGGAACUCUUGUACACUGUUGGUGGGAUUGUAAAUUGGUGUGGCCAUUAUGAAAAACAAUGUGGAGGUUGCCCAUAAAACUAAAAAUAGAAUUCCCAUAUGAUCAGCAAUUCUACUUCUGAGUGUUUAUCCAAAUAAAUUGAAAUCAGUAUUUCGAAUUGAUAUCCACACUCCCUGUUCAUUAAGGCAUUAUUCACAAUAGCCAAGACAUGAAAACAACCUAAGUGUCCACUGAUGAAUGAAGAAAUAAAGAAAAGGUGGAAUGUAUACAUAUACAAUGGAAUACUGUUCAGCCGUAAAAAAUAAGAAAAUCCUGUUAUUUGAAGCAACAUAGAAGAAACUGGAGGACAUUUGCUAAGUGAAAUAAGCCAGACACAGAAAGUCAAAUACUGCAUGAUCUCACUUAUAUGUGGAAACUAAAGAGGUUGAACUCAUAAAAUCAGGAAGUACCAAAGGAGGUUCCCAAGGGCUGGGGGUGUUGGAGAAAUGUGGGAUUUUGGUCAAAGGAUACAAAUUUUCAUUUAUAGGAUGAAUAAGUUCUGGAGAUCUAAUGUACAGCAUGGUAACUAUAGUUCAUAACAAUGUAUUGUAUCCUUGAAAUGUUCUGAGAGAGUAGAUCUUAAGUGUUCUCAUCACACAUUAAAAAAGGUAGGUAUAUGAGGUAAUGGAUAGGUUACUUAGCUUCACUGUGAUAAUCACUUCACAAUGUAUAUGUGUAUCAAAGUAUCUCAUUGUACACUGUAAGUAUACACAAGUUUUAUCUGUUAAUUCUACCUCAAUAAAACUGGCAGGGAGAG
rnacentral:lncRNA from 10 species